UACAGAGGUCUCAAGCGUUGUUCGGAUUUACUGGGCGUAAAGCGCACGUAGGCGGAUCGUUAAGUCGGGGGUGAAAUCCUGGAGCUCAACUCCAGAACUGCCUUCGAUACUGGCGAUCUCGAGUCCGGAAGAGGUGAGUGGAACUCCUAGUGUAGAGGUGGAAUUCGUAGAUAUUAGGAAGAACACCAGUGGCGAAGGCGGCUCACUGGUCCGGUACUGACGCUGAGGUGCGAAAGCGUGGGGAGCAAACAGG
rnacentral:rRNA from 1 species